rfam:Singulisphaera acidiphila DSM 18658, complete genome.
CUCAUCGCGAGGUGGGAUGGGAUCUGAAGGAAGCUAAUGCCUAACCUCGGACUCGACGAACAGAAACCCGGAUGCAGGGCGACACGGUGAGGUC